rnacentral:lncRNA from 1 species
CUUUAUAUUUUUAUAGGGAAAUACACAUGUAACAUAUGUAACAAGAGUACAAUGCAGCCGUAUGUCACGUGGACCCUGUUAUAUCCUACACACACCUGACCCAAGACACAUAUACGUAUUCGUAAAUACGCAUAUCCAAAAUACAUAAUACAAAUACACCACACGUGAUAUUACGUAUUGUGUGUGCCCUGUGGUGUCUCGUUUUACAAGACGCAGCAAACAAACAACCAAAAAUAGACAGACACUCAGGAAAGAAGCAAACUCCUUUCAUAAUUUGUCUUCUCCUUUCUGAUUGUUUACCCAACACUUAAGGCACCGCCUUAGAUUUUCCGACAACGUUGUUUUUCAAACUAUAAAGGGAAAAAGUAUGAUCAGACCAUAAGCUAUUCAUAUAUAUAUAUAUAUAUGUGUUUGUGUAAAGAAGGAAGGGGGUAAGAGAAAAGACCUUAAAGCUGAAAACAGAGAGAGACUGAAGAGAGAAAAUGGUAGGAAGAAGAGGAAGCCCUUUAUUGAGAUGGAGUACCAAACACGAAAACGUCAGCCAUGGCUUCUCGCAAUCUGACCUCCAAGCCCUCUCUGCCAUUUGCGAGGCUAUUUUGCCUCCUGUUCCACUACAGAGCUUAGAUCUUGAUAUGAAGUUGAAGGUUUU